rnacentral:lncRNA from 1 species
AUCCACAGCUUCUGGUGGAUCCAGAUGGGAGAGCUGUUAGGAAAAGGAGCAGGCUCAAAUCAGAGUUCUCAUCAAAGACUAAAUAAAUAGGACAAUUGAAGUGAGAAAACUUUUAAAAUGGAACUGUGAAGACAGACAAUGGAAUUUAGUCUACUGGGUGCCUCUGUUAGACUGGGAAGUUGUCAUGAGUUUGGAUCUGAGACCACACUAAGAGAAUCGCACAUAAACUUCCUCUCCGCUCCUGGCAGGACACAUGAAAAACCCUCUCCCAAUGGAACAAAAUACCUGAUCCCUGCUGUGGCCAUCCCUAUGUCCCAAACGAUUACACUUCUUAUGCCUUUGCUUCAUUCUUGCCCUGGGUAGGUUCUGUGUUCAAUAUGGACUCAUUGAAUCCAAAUGCCUAUAGGAUCCACACCUACCUCCCCAAACCUUCAUCUGCCUCCAUGUUUGGAUGCAGAUAGCUUACUAGUGUCUUCUUUUCCCCUAAGCCUUAUCUGGUUCACCCCUCAAAUUCUGAUUUUCUAUAACCUGAGUGGAGCAUAUGUUCUGAACUUUAGCCUCCUCAGAACUGGAGUUCAGAGACUCACUUUCUUCAGCUCAUAUGAGCCUCAAAAUUCUUCCCUCUCAACUCUUGUUUACAUAACUGUUACCCAUGACUCUGACACCCACUAGUCACUCGCCGAUCAUGGUCUUCCUUCAAGACCCUAACUGAAGCAUAAGAGUGCAUGCAUUCAGAUAAACAGGGUCUUCUCAGGCCUGCUGUGCGAGUCUCUAACAGAUACCUAACUCUUUGGACAAAUAAAUGGAGGGGACUCUUUUUUUCUUUUUUUUUUUUUGUGGUUUUUCGAGACAGGGUUUCUCUGUGUAGCUCUGGCUGUCCUGGAACUCACUUGGUAGACCAGGCUGGCCUCAAACUCAGAAAUCUGCCUGCCUCUGUCUGCCUCCCAAGUGCUGGGAUUAAAGGCGUGCACCACCAUGCCCGCCAGCUCGUCUUACAAGAUGACCUCUGACUCCAUGGUGGUGUGCUGGACCUCUAUGAAUGUUCCCAUUUAGCAAGAACUCAGAACUACCCAAGGUAGCUGAAAAGAAAAUCUAAGAUGAUCUUUACGUUCUAACAGUUAAGUUCAAGAGGUUAAAAGUACCUUUAAUCUAAGAUUGUAGUUGUAGGUAGAAUGCUUGCCCAUGUGUCCAGUUCCCCGCACUGCAUAAAGUGGGCUUGGCAGUUUAUACCUGUGGUCCCAGCACUUGGAAGUUGGGAGACAAAGAGAAGAAUCAGAAGUUCAAGGCCAUCCUUGGCUAUAUAGGGACUUUGAGGAUAGUCUGAGACACUAACGACCCUGUAAGUAAAGAAAGGGAGGGGAGGAGGGACCCACAACAGAAAACAGUUCUGCAUUGCUAGGAGGAGUUUUUUCAAAGCUCACGUGGAAUCAUGAAAAUCUAUAGUAUCUAGGAAAACUAAAAUGGGGCAGGGGAAGGAGAGCGUGUAGUCAGUUUGAACACAAUAAUAAAUUCCAAAUCACCAAUAACGUGUUGGUGACACAUUAAGGAAAGAAAGCGUUUCCCCUUGGUGUCAUUUAACCAAGAGUAAGCUCAGAUUUUAUUUUCUAUUUCAUGUUCCCUGUGUCUUCUGUCUUCAUCCUCUGUGUGUUACACGAGUCUAAAUCUGUGCCUGCCUGAAGACUGUCUUGUAAAUCUAUCCCCACUGUGUGUUCAUCUGUCACAAAGGGCUUUGUUCUCUAUUGAGCAGCCCAGAAAGCAUAACAUGGAGAAGGAAUGAGGGAUAACAGAAAUCUUUAACAGCGUUUUACAAGGGAUUAUUAAAUCGGACUCCAAUUAACCCCAACCGACCCAGAAAACAGUAUCUCAAACACUAUUGUUUAUCGAGCAAUAUUUAAAUGUUGUGUUCAACAUUCGUGGUGGAUAUUCGCUUUAGGAGAUUGCUUUCAACUUCUGUGUGUGCUGUUUUCAGCAAAUGACACCCAUUCAUUACUGUUGGUCAGAGACACGGAGAGUACAGGACUUGAGAUUACAGCUAGGCACAGGGAAACCCAAGGGUAAGUAAGGGUGACUGUUAACACCGGUUUCUUAAAAGCUGAGCACACAGUAGGAUAGCAUCUUACGUCACAAGUGACCUCAGGGUCUACUAACCUUGCCUGUAAGGUCCAUCAAAAGUUCCACUCCAGUCUCUUGGAGAGGACCAAGGGCUAAUAUUCAAUAUUAUUGAAUUAAAACAAUGUCUACUGGUACAUAUAGGAAAAUGGACUGAUGAAAUGGAAACAUAACCUAGAUAAGGAGCUAGGUCCAUAGAGGUGUCAGAGAUCUUCCUGUCUACAUGAUUCCUCAAAGGAGUCAUGGAACAAAUGGCUAGAGUUCCCGGACCAAACAGGUUACACCUAUGUAAAGUUAGGUUGGUUUCUUUAACCUGUAUUUUGUACUAGGAUCCAAAGGAUCAAACAACUGGUAUAGGAAAUGAGACCAUACCACAGCAUGGUAAAACCAUUAAAACAAAGCCACGUAACAAAUUGGAAGACUGAAGCCCAUCACGCUUGAAGAACACCUCUAAAAGGUGGGGUCUAGUGCACAAAGAACACCAAGCAAAUUAAGGGUUAGUUGUUAAUUUUAUACAUUUAGUUUUUAAAAUGAACAUUUUAAAUUUCCAUCCUAUCAGAAUGUCCAAAUCUAGCAUUUGAACACUGUCUCUGGUGGUGAGGCCAUGGAUGAGCAAGCACACAUGUACAUGAGCUGAGCUAGUCCCUCCCUGUGGAGGGCAGAGUCCAAGUCAGUACCUCUCAAGCCUACAAGUGUGUGUGGUCUUUCACCUUUGAACACUUAGAAAUGUACAUAUACAAAUGUGACAUGAUAUGUGGACAAGGUCUAGAAACAACUCAAAUGCUCAAGAAUGGUACCACUCAACUAAAUACUGGCAUAGCCAUAGUAAGGAUACCAAGCAACCAAUAAAGUGAAAAGGCUAUCUCUCUGGUGGUACAUGGCUACUGCAAUAAUUAGGUGAUAAAAAGCAGAUGGUGUGUAUGUGGUAUUACUCCAAGUAAAAUAAGAGCAAAUAGAGAAAUAAGGCUUUAUAUGUAUAUAUGUUGGCAUUUUUUUAAAAAAGGAGUGUGUGGAUGGAAAUACAAAAAGCCAGGGACAGAGGACAUGUGUGUGCACUAUGGGAAACUGGGAAGACAUUGUGGUAUUAGUGUAUAUUGUGUUUUUUAACCAUGUGAAUGUACCACCUAUUUGGAAAGUUAAAUAAAACAAGCAUUUUUUAAGCC